rnacentral:rRNA from 1 species
GGUCAGCGAUUGGGGUGAAGUCGUAACAAGGUAGCCGUAGGAGAACCUGCGGCUGGAUCACCUCCUUUCUAUGGAG